CAAAAGUUUGGUCCUGACUUUGUUAACAGCUCUAGUCAAAAUUAUACAUGCAAGUAUCCGCACCCCCGUGAGAAUGCCCUAUGGUCCCUGCUUGGGAAAUAGGAGCUGGUAUCAGGCUCACCCCGACUGUAGCCCACGACGCCUUGCUUAGCCACACCCUCAAGGGUAUUCAGCAGUGAUCGACCUUAAGCCAUAAGUGAAAACUUGACUUAGCCAUGACUAAUUGAGGGCCGGUAAAACUCGUGCCAGCCACCGCGGUUAUACGAUGAAGCCCAAGUUGUUAGCCUUCGGCGUAAAGAGUGGUUAGAGUACCCCAACAAAACUAAGGCCGAACACCUUCAGGGCAGUCAUACGCUUUCGAAGGCAUGAAGCACACCAACGAAAGUAGCCUUACCAGACUUGAACCCACGAAAGCUAAGAUACAAACUGGGAUUAGAUACCCCACUAUGCUUAGCCCUAAACAAUGAUUACACCUACACUCAAACUCCGCCUGGAUAUUACGAGCGUUUAGCUUAAAACCCAAAGGACUUGGCGGUGCUUUAAACCCCCCUAGAGGAGCCUGUUCUAUAAUCGAUACCCCCCGUUAAACCUCACCCCUUCUUGUUCUACCCGCCUAUAUACCACCGUCGUCAGCCUACCCUGUGAAGGCCUAGUAGUAGGCAAAGCUAGCAUAGCCCAAAACGUCAGGUCAAGGUGUAGCGAAUGAAGGGGAAAGAAAUGGGCUACAUUCUCUGCCCAGAGAACAACGAAUGAUGUGUUGAAUACACCACCUGAAGGAGGAUUUAGUAGUAAGCAAGAA
rnacentral:rRNA from 1 species